rnacentral:tRNA from 1 species
GGGGCUGGGGCUCAGUGGUAGAGCAUGCACCUUGCACGUGUGAGGCCCUGGGUUCAAUCCUCAGCACCG